CAGCUGGAGUGCGGGGGGGACCUCCAGCCCCCCGGGGGGUCCCUGCGCCUCCUCUUCCAGGAGUCCGGGUUCAGUUUUGGGAAUUUUGGGAUGGAUUGGGUUCACCAGAGACCUGGGCAGGGCCUGGAGUGGAUUGCGGGGAUCAGCUACACUGGUGGAGGCACCGGCUACGCAGAUUCAGUCAAGGGCCGGUUCAGGAUCUCCAGGGACAACGGGCAGAGCUCGGUGACGCUGACCAUGAACAACCUCAAGGACGAGGAUUCUGGAUCCUAUUUCUGUGACAAAUUCUACAACGCUCGUGCUGGUGCUCCUCGUAUUGAUGUCGGUGCCACCCCCAUCUCCGUGUGCCCCCCUGUCCCUAUUGCCCAGACCCUUCCCCCAAAGCCCCAGCCCACACCAAGCCCUUGA